rnacentral:tRNA from 3 species
GUCCCCAUCGUCUAGAGGCCCAGGACGGCACCCUCUCACGGUGCAGACCGGGGUUCGAAUCCCCGUGGGGACGCCA